rnacentral:rRNA from 1 species
ACUCCUACGGGAGGCAGCAGUAGGGAAUCUUCCACAAUGGGCGCAAGCCUGAUGGAGCAACACCGCGUGAGUGAAGAAGGGUUCGCGUCGUAAAGCUCUGUUGUUAAAGAAGAACACGUAUGAGAGUAACUGUUCAUACGUUGUACGGUAUUUAACCAGAAAGUCACGGCUAACUACGUGCCAGCAGCCGCGGUAAUACGUAGGUGGCAAGCGUUAUCCGGAUUUAUUGGGCGUAAAGAGAGUGCAGGCGGUUUUCUUAAGUCUGAUGUGAAAGCCUUCGGCUUAACCGGUAGAAGUGCAUCGGAAACUAGGAUAACUUGAGUGCAGAAGAGGGUAGUGGAACUCCAUGUGUAGCGGUGGAAUGCGUAGAUAUAUGGAAGAACACCAGUGGCGAAGCGGCUACCUGGUCUGCAACUGACGCUGAGACUCGAAAGCAUGGGUAGCGAACAGGAUUAGAUACCCCUGGUAGGAUAGCG